rfam:Triticum aestivum genome assembly, contig: Triticum_aestivum_CS42_TGACv1_scaffold_501181_6BL
CUAUUGCUCCCUCCGUCCGAAAAUACUUGUCCUAGAAAUGGUUGUAUCUAGACUUAUUUUAGUUAUAGAUACAUCAAUUUUAUCUAUUUCUAGGACAAGUAUUUUCGGACGGAGGGAGUAGUUU